ACCUUAACAUCAUAAGUGGAAUAUAUUGCUCGCUAUUGCUUCUCUUUUAACUGUUUCAACUGAUUCUUUUUCAGCUUGGAAAGAACAAGAUGAACAGACCCACCUUCAAUCUGAUGCUUGAUGAGGAAAAAGAUUCCUGAAUGGUAGGUCUGAAGGAGCUGCUUUGCCAUCUAAUCUUGGAUGUUUGGGAAUUUAAAUGCCAGAGGGUUCUGUCCAUCCUGGUCCAGGCUGUUUUGUUGGAGCCAAGGAGUCAUGAAAGAAACCCAAGAAGACAACUUGGACAGCGAGCAGAAGAUAAAAAGCAAACAGAAAGAAUGUGGCAUACAAAGGGUGUAAUACCUGGAGGUAUCGGAGCUGACUCAUAUUUAUAAAAAAAAAUGAGACGAGCUUUCACCAAGUACAAGUUCUCUUAAGCCAGUCCUCGAGCUGGGAGCCAUGCUGGGGAACUAGGAAUUCUCCUUCUCCCCCCUCCUCCUUUCUGACAGGGAACGAAAGGAUUGGCGAAUUAUGAUUUGCCCAAGUCGGAAGCACUAAUUUUUUUCCUCUCUAGAGUUCGUCCUUAUGAAUAGAUAAGGAGUUUAAACCUUGCAUAUUUAAUGUGGACUGUGGUGGGAGAGUGACUCGUUGAACCAAAAUGGCCACUGGGAAGGACUUGGUUUCAAACUGAGCUCGGAGCCUCCCGAUGCACUUUGUCCGAUUCGGGAUCAGCCGUGCUGCAGGGCCUGCUCUGGGAGGCCAGGAUGACAUGUAGGAGAAGGAGAUCCCCCUCCUGCUGAUAUCUCUGGAGAC
rnacentral:lncRNA from 1 species